CCUACGGGAGGCAGCAGUGAGGAAUAUUGGUCAAUGGCCGGAAGGCUGAACCAGUCAUGCCGCGUGAAGGUCAGUGCCCUUUGGGCGUUAAACUUCUUUUGUGCGGGAGCAAUAAUGGUCACGUGUGGCCAGACGAGAGUACCGUACGAAUAAGCAACGGCUAACUCCGUGCAAGCAGCCGCGGUAAUACGGGGGAUGCAAGCGUUAUCCGGAUUUGUUGGGUUUAAGGGGUGCGUAAGCGGUGAGGUAAGGCAGCGGAGAAAGGCCCCCGCUCAACGGGGUGAAGUGCCAUUGAUACUGGCUAGCUGGAGUGCGGAUGCGGUAGGAGGAAUGUGUGGUGUAGCGGUGAAAUGCAUAGAUAUCACACAGAACACCGAUUGCGAAGGCAUCUCACGAAUCCGCGAUUGACGCUGAGGCACGAAAGCGUGGGUAUCAAACAGGAUUAGAUACCCGGGUAGUC
rnacentral:rRNA from 1 species